CAGGAAGAAGCUUGCUUCUUUGCUGACGAGUGGCGGACGGGUGAGUAAUGUCUGGGAAACUGCCUGAUGGAGGGGGAUAACUACUGGAAACGGUAGCUAAUACCGCAUAACGUCGCAAGACCAAAGAGGGGGACCUUCGGGCCUCUUGCCAUCGGAUGUGCCCAGAUGGGAUUAGCCAGUAGGUGGGGUAACGGCUCACCUAGGCGACGAUCCCUAGCUGGUCUGAGAGGAUGACCAGCCACACUGGAACUGAGACACGGUCCAGACUCCUACGGGAGGCAGCAGUGGGGAAUAUUGCACAAUGGGCGCAAGCCUGAUGCAGCCAUGCCGCGUGUAUGAAGAAGGCCUUCGGGUUGUAAAGUACUUUCAGCGGGGAGGAAGGGAGUAAAGUUAAUACCUUUGCUCAUUGACGUUACCCGCAGAAGAAGCACCGGCUAACUCCGUGCCAGCAGCCGCGGUAAUACGGAGGGUGCAAGCGUUAAUCGGAAUUACUGGGCGUAAAGCGCACGCAGGCGGUUUGUUAAGUCAGAUGUGAAAUCCCCGGGCUCAACCUGGGAACUGCAUCUGAUACUGGCAAGCUUGAGUCUCGUAGAGGGGGGUAGAAUUCCAGGUGUAGCGGUGAAAUGCGUAGAGAUCUGGAGGAAUACCGGUGGCGAAGCGGCCCCUGGACGAAGACUGACGCUCAGUGCGAAAGCGUGGGGAGCAAACAAGAUUAGAUACCCUGGUAGUCCACGCCGUAAACGAUGUCGACUUGGAAGGUGUGCCCUUGAGGCGUGGCUACCCGAGCUACGCGUUAAGUCGACGCCUGGGGAGUACCGCGCAAGGUUAAAACUCCAAUGAAUUGACGGGGGGCC
rnacentral:rRNA from 1 species